rnacentral:rRNA from 1 species
GAGGAAAAGAAACCAACAGGGAUUGCCCUAGUAACGGCGAGUGAAGCGGCAACAGCUCAAAUUUGAAAUCUGGCCCCCUAGGGGGUCCGAGUUGUAAUUUGCAGAGGGUGCUUUGGCGUUGGCAGCGGUCUAAGUUCCUUGGAACAGGACGUCACAGAGGGUGAGAAUCCCGUACGUGGUCGCCAGCCUCCGCCGUGUAAAGCCCCUUCGACGAGUCGAGUUGUUUGGGAAUGCAGCUCUAAAUGGGAGGUAAAUUUCUUCUAAAGCUAAAUACUGGCCAGAGACCGAUAGCGCACAAGUAGAGUGAUCGAAAGAUGAAAAGCACUUUGGAAAGAGAGUCAAAAAGCACGUGAAAUUGUUGAAAGGGAAGCGCUUGCAGCCAGACUUGCCUGUAGUUGCUCAGCCGGGCUCCGGCCCGGUGCACUCUUCUGCGGGCAGGCCAGCAUCAGUUCGGGCGGCCGGAUAAAGACCUCUGUCACGUACCUCCCUCCGGGGAGGACUUAUAGGGGAGGUGAAAUGCGGCCAGUCCGGACUGAGGUCCGCGCAUCUGCUAGGAUGCUGGCGUAAUGGCUGUAA